GAGUUUGAUCCUGGCUCAGAACGAACGCUGGCGGCGCGUUUUAAGCAUGCAAGUCGAGCGGUAACCGUCCUUCGGGACGGCUAGAGCGGCGAACGGGUGAGUAACACGUAGGUAAUCUGCCGUGCGAUUGGGGAUAGCCUGUGGAAACACAGGGUAAUACCGAAUACGACCUUCGGGGGAAAGGCGCUUCGGCGCCGUCGUACGAUGAGCCUGCGGCGCAUUAGUUAGUUGGCGGGGUAAAAGCCCACCAAGGCGACGAUGCGUAGCCGACCUGAGAGGGUGAUCGGCCACACUGGGACUGAGAUACGGCCCAGACUCCUACGGGAGGCAGCAGCUAAGAAUCUUCCGCAAUGGACGAAAGUCUGACGGAGCGACGCCGCGUGGGCGAGGAAGGCCGAAAGGUUGUAAAGCCCUUUUCUGCGUGAGGAAUAAGCAUCGGAGGCAAUGCCGGUGUGAUGACGGUAGCGCAGGAAUAAGCCCCGGGCCAAUUACGUGCCAGCAGCCGCGGUAACACGUAUGGGGGCGAGCGUUGUUCGGAAUUAUUGGG
rnacentral:rRNA from 1 species